rnacentral:rRNA from 1 species
UACGUAGGGGGCUAGCGUUGUCCGGAUUUAUUGGGCGUAAAGAGCGUGUAGGCGGCCAGGUAGGUCUGCUGUGAAAACUCGAGGCUCAACCUCGUGACGUCGGCGGAAACCAUCUGGCUAGAGUCCGGAAGAGGAGAGUGGAAUUCCUGGUGUAGCGGUGAAAUGCGCAGAUAUCAGGAAGAACACCCGUGGCGAAAGCGGCUCUCUGGAACGGUACUGACGCUGAGACGCGAAAGCGUGGGGAGCGAACAGG